rnacentral:rRNA from 1 species
AGGUAGUUUCAAACCCAUUUAUACUGGCGGCUUUUCAUUUUAUUAGAGGAACUUGUCCACUAAUCGAUAACCCCCGAUAAAUUUCACUUUAAAUUAAAAUUUAUAUACCGCCAUCUAAAGAAUUAAUUCCCAUAUUUUUUCUAAAUAAAACCUAAAAAGAUAGGUCAAGGUGUAAUCAAUUUUAAAGAAAAGAUGAGUUACUUUAAGAAAAACUUAAGGACAUUUUAAUACCAAUUAUAAUUAAAAUAGGAUUUAUAAGUAUUAUUUAAAUAAUAUUUCUAUAUGAAUAAAAUUUCAAAGUGC